CAGAGGGGGCAGGCGUUGUUCGGAAUUACUGGGCGUAAAGGGCGCGUAGGCGGCCUGCUAAGUCGAACGUGAAAUCCCCGGGCUCAACCCGGGAACUGCGUCCGAUACUGGUUGGCUUGAAUUCGGGAGAGGGAUGUGGAAUUCCAGGUGUAGCGGUGAAAUGCGUAGAUAUCUGGAGGAACACCGGUGGCGAAGGCGGCAUCCUGGACCGAUAUUGACGCUGAUGCGCGAAAGCCAGGGGAGCAAACGGGAUUAGAUACCCCGGUAGUCCUGGCCCUAAACGAUGAAUGCUUGGUGUGGCGGGUAUCGAUCCCUGCCGUGCCGAAGCUAACGCAUUAAGCAUUCCGCCUGGGGAGUACGGUCGCAAGGCUG
rnacentral:rRNA from 1 species